AUGCUCGCCGGAGAAGAAGAACCAGACGCCGGAGGAGCCGGCCGCCGCCACCCGCCGCCGCACCGGGGAAGUUUUCGACCGCCGAUCAAGGUAAUUUUUCUCCCCCUUGCUCGUUUUUCGACGCUGUGUCCGCUUAUGGCCAAACCGGAGCCAAACCACCAGCCAAACGGCCAGAAAACCCAGCCAAAAGCCAGCGGCACUGCCGCGCCCUUCCUCGGUUUUUGCCUCCGAUGAGGCCCUUCCCGGCCUCCGUUUGAUGCAAAUUUUAUACCACUGUGAUCACCGUUCUUUUCUCUACAGGUUGAUCGGAGCCAAAUAUCAAAACGUGACUCACGCCAGAGGAGCCGCUGCACCCGAGAGCACCGCCGUCGGUAAGUUUCGGUUUUUUGUGAUUUUUCGGCCCACCGAGGGCCCUAGGGUUGUUCUAUCACAGGGGUCGAUGCAAGCGUGGCCGAAUUCGGCCAAAAACGAUCAACCCGAGGCUAAUCGCCGCCGCUUGCGGCGGCGCCGUCGCUAGAGCACGGCGGAGCCGCCAUGCUGGAAUUGCGAUAUUGGCCGAAAGGGGCCCUAGGUCUAAUUUGGGAUUUUUUGGGACACGUGCAGGUACUAGUAGUGCGUUUCAGUUCCCCAGAAAAAAUUCAGGGAAAAUUAGGGACAGCCUGUAGGCGCACUGUAGAGCCGUAU
rnacentral:lncRNA from 1 species